AAAGGGGCAAGAGAUAUUUUCUUGAUUGUAUGUUUACAUGGUUAAUGUCCAAAACUGCCAUUUGGCAUAGGCAUAUGUCAUAGAUAGGAUACAAAACCAUUAAACGUUCACAAUUGUUUAUGCUAAAAAUAAUUAAACCAUGCCUUAAAGUAAUUUUAGCUUAUUGUAUUUUCCGUUGGGUUAUUAUUAUUAUUAUACAAUCAAUAAAAGGGAAAAAUUGUAAUUGAUUAUUAUGAAAAGAGAAUAAUAAUAAC
rnacentral:misc_RNA from 1 species